GACGAACCGUGCAAACGUUGUUCGGAAUCACUGGGCUUAAAGGGCGCGUAGGCGGCUCAUCAAGUCGGGGGUGAAAUACUUCAGCUUAACUGGAGAAGUGCCUUCGAUACUGGUGGGCUUGAGGGAGGUAGGGGUCUUUGGAACUUCUGGUGGAGCGGUGAAAUGCGUAGAUAUCGCUUGGAACGCCGAAGGUGAAAACAGGCUGCUGGGGUUGUGCCGACGCUGAGACACGAAAGCCAGGGGAGCAAACGGG
rnacentral:rRNA from 1 species